rnacentral:rRNA from 1 species
CCUACGGGAGACAGCAGUAGGGAAUAUUGCUCAAUGGGGGAAACCCUGAAGCAGCAACGCCGCGUGGAGGAUGAAGGUUUUCGGAUUGUAAACUCCUUUUGUUAGAGAAGAUAAUGACGGUAUCUAACGACUAAGCACCGGCCAACUCCGUGCCAGCAGCCGCGGUACUACGGAGGGUGCAAGCGUUACUCGGAAUCACUGGGCGAAAAGAGCGCGUAGGCGGGAUAGCAAGUCAGAUGUGAAAUCCUAUGGCUUAACCAUAGAACUGCAAUUGAAACUGUUAUUCUAGAGUAUGGGAGAGGUAGGUGGAAUUCUUGGUGUAGGGGUAAACACCGUAGAGAGCA